rnacentral:tRNA from 1 species
GGGUGCUUAGCUCAGUUGGGAGAGCAUCGCCUUUACACGGCGGAGGUCGUGGGUCCGAGUCCCUCAGCACCCACCA